ACCGACGCAUUUCUUCCCGCUCUGGGACGUCGCAGCCGGUCGGGCUCCGAGCGGGUCGUCAAGUAGUGUACGCCAGUCCUCCGCUUCCUAAGGGCUCCGCGGGGAUGGCGGCUUGCGGCGAGUAAGUCGGUGACCCACCUGGCCCGUCUUGAAACACGGACCAAGGAGUCUGACGUGUGCGCGAGUCAUGGGGACUUGAAUAGGCCCAAAGGCGCAAUGAAAGUGAAGUCGAGAUCCUGCGGGCGCACCGACGGCCCGGUCGGUGCUCGAGCGUACACGUUGGUACCCGAAAGAUGGUGAACUAUGCCUGGUCAGGGCGAAGUCAGAGGAAACUCUGAUGGAGGCUCGUAGCGCUUCUGACGUGCAAAUCGAUUGCGAGAACCAGGUAUAGGGGCGAAAGGCUAAUCGAACCAUCUAGUAGCUGGUUCCCUCCGAAGUUUCCCUCAGGAUAGCUGGCGCUCGAUGAGUCGCACUCAGUAAAGCGAA
rnacentral:rRNA from 1 species